rnacentral:misc_RNA from 1 species
GCAAACUUGGUCAUUUAGAGGAAGUAAAAGUCGUAACAAGGUAACCGUAGGUGAACCUGCGGUUGGAUCAUUACAGUGAUUUUUAUGAAUCGAAACGGGAGUUGCGUGGUUUAGCUGAGAAUGCUGAGCCAGCGAUUUUCGCACACCCACAAAUGUGAACUGAAGAAAUGUCCAUUGGCAGUCAGAUGGGCCCGUUGAACAAAUAAACCCAGCUCCUUGGCCCGAGCUCAUGGGGCGUGUUUUGCACAAGACACGCGGCUGCCAGCAUUUUUCAUGCAAACACCCAUGCCAUUUGUCACUUUUGUUAACUGUUACACAAACAAACAAAACUUCAGACAACGGAUCUCUUGGCUCUCGCAUCGAUGAAGAACGCAGC